rnacentral:rRNA from 1 species
AUGUGCCGAGGUGGUCGCGCGCUGGCUGGUGGCAGGGCCCAGAGGAGAGGUGUGGAGAGGUGUUGCGAGGCCUCUGCUGCGCUUGGAGGAGCAGCCACUAGUCAGAUCGACCCUCCAAUAACCAACAUAUGCCUCGGCGCGUUCCUCGGCGUGCUCUUUGGGUCCGUGGAGAUCGGCCUCGGAGUCACGCUUGCCAUAUCCUUUGCAAAGAUCAUCAUCCAGUCACUCCGGCCUCAGGUGAAGGGUCUGGGCAGGCUACAAGGAACAAACAUAUUCUGCAGCGUCAGGCAGUACCCCGUAGCAUGCCGGACACCGGCCGUGCAAGUCAUACGCAUCGAUACGUCCUUCCUCUACUUCAUCAAUGCGACUUUCAUCAAAGAGAGGAUCAUGGAGUGGCUAAGGGCAGAAGUGGACACAUCCAAUGAGAAGGUCGGGGAAAGGGUGCACUCAGUUUUCCUUGACAUGUCAAAUGUGGUGAACAUUGACACUUCAGAACUGGUGGGAUUGGAAAAAAUUCACAAGGAGAUGGCGUCCCUCGGCAUACAAGUGAAAUGGCUAUUGCUAGUCUAG